UACGAAGGGGGCUAGCGUUGUUCGGAUUUACUGGGCGUAAAGCGCACGUAGGCGGAUCGUUAAGUCGGGGGUGAAAUCCUGGAGCUCAACUCCAGAACUGCCUUCGAUACUGGCGAUCUUGAGUCCGGAAGAGGUGAGUGGAACUCCGAGUGUAGAGGUGAAAUUCGUAGAUAUUAGGAAGAACACCAGUGGCGAAGGCGGCUCACUGGUCCGGUACUGACGCUGAGGUGCGAAAGCGUGGGGAGCAAACAGG
rnacentral:rRNA from 1 species